GACGAACGCUGGCGGCGUGCUUAACACAUGCAAGUCGAACGGAAAGGCCCUGCUUUUGUGGGGUGCUCGAGUGGCGAACGGGUGAGUAACACGUGAGUAACCUGCCCUUGACUUUGGGAUAACUUCAGGAAACUGGGGCUAAUACCGGAUAGGAGCUCCUGCUGCAUGGUGGGGGUUGGAAAGUUUCGGCGGUUGGGGAUGGACUCGCGGCUUAUCAGCUUGUUGGUGGGGUAGUGGCUUACCAAGGCUUUGACGGGUAGCCGGCCUGAGAGGGUGACCGGCCACAUUGGGACUGAGAUACGGACCAGACUCGUACGGGAGGCAGCAGUGGGGAAUAUUGCACAAUGGGCGGAAGCCUGAUGCAGCAACGCCGCGUGCGGGAUGACGGCCUGCGGGUUGUAAACCGCUUUCGCCUGUGACGAAGCGUGUGUGACGGUAAUGGGUAAAGAAGCACCGGCUAACUACGUG
rnacentral:rRNA from 1 species